GGCGAGGCGCAUCCUAACAUGCAGNUCGAACGAAUUACCUUCGGGCUAGUUAGUGGCGCACGUGGUGCAUAACGCGAUGGGAAUCUGCCCCUUGGUUCGAAAUAGCAGCAAGAAAUUGCUGCUAAUACCGGAUGAUGACGUAAGUCCAAAGAUUUAUCGCCGAGGGAUGAGCCCACGUAUGAUUAGGUGGUUGGUGUGAUAAAGGCUCACCAAGCCGACGAUCCUUAGCUGGUCUGAAAGGAUGAUCAGCCACUCUGGGACUGAGACACGGCCCACACUCCUACGGGAGGCAGCAGUGGGAAAUAUUGGACAAUGGGCGAAAGCCUGAUCCAGCCAUGCCGCGUGAGUGAUGAAGGCCUUAGGGUUGUAAAGCUCUUUUACCCUGGAUGAUAAUGACGCUACCGGGAGAAUAAACUCCGGCUAAUUCCGUGCCAGCAGCCGCGGAAAUACGGAGGGAGCUAGCGUUAUUCUGAAUUACUGGACGUAAAGCGCACGUAGGCGGCUUUGUAAGUAAUAGGUGAAAGCCCAGAGCUCAACUCUGGAAUUGCCUUUUAGACUGCAUCGCUUGAAUCAUGGCGGAGGUCAGUGUGAAUUCCUGAGUGUAGUAGAGUGAAAUUCAUAGAUAUUCGAAAGAACACCUGUGACGAAGGCGGCUGACUGGACAUGUAUUGACACUGAGGUGACAAAGCGUGGGGAGCAAACAGGAUUAGACUGCCUGGUAGUCCACGCCGUAAACGAUGAUAACUAGCUGUUCGGGCACUUGGUGCUUGACUGGCGCACCUAACACAUUAAGUUAUCCGCCUGGAGAGUACGGCCGCAAGGUUAAAACUCAAAUGAAUUGACAGCGGCCUG
rnacentral:rRNA from 1 species